rnacentral:rRNA from 1 species
UGGGGAAUAUUGCACAAUGGGGGAAACCCUGAUGCAGCAACGCCGCGUGAGUGAUGAAGGUCUUCGGAUUGUAAAGCUCUGUCUUUAGGGACGAUAAUGACGGUACCUAAGGAGGAAGCCACGGCUAACUACGUGCCAGCAGCCGCGGUAAUACGUAGGUGGCAAGCGUUAUCCGGAUUUACUGGGCGUAAAGGGAGCGUAGGCGGAUAUUUAAGUGGGAUGUGAAAUACCCGAGCUUAACUUGGGAGCUGCAUUCCAAACUGGAUAUCUAGAGUGCAGGAGAGGAGAAUGGAACUCCUAGUGUAGCGGUGAAAUGCGUAGAUAUUCGGAGGAACACCAGUGGCGAAGGCGGCCUGCUGGGCUCUAACUGACGCUGAGGCUCGAAAGUGUGGGGAGCAAACAGGAUUAGAUACCC